UGGGGAAUUUUGCACAAUGGGCGCAAGCCUGAUGCAGCGACGCCGCGUGAGGGAUGAAGGCCUUCGGGUUGUAAACCUUUUUCGCUCAUGGUCAAGCCGCAGCUUUGGGUUGUGGUGAGGGUAGUGGGUAAAGAAGCGCCGGCUAACUACGUGCCAGCAGCCGCGGUAAUACGUAGGGCGCGAGCGUUGUCCGGAAUUAUUGGGCGUAAAGGGCUUGUAGGCGGUUGGCCGCGUCUGCCGUGAAAUCCUCUGGCUUAACUGGGGGCGUGCGGUGGGUACGGGUUGGCGUGGGUGCGGGAGGGGGGGCUGGAAUUCCUGGUGUAGCGGUGGGAUGCGCAGAUAUCAGGAGGAACACCGGUGGCUAAGGCGGGUCUCUGGGCCGUUACUGACGCUGAGGAGCGAAAGCGUGGGGAGCGAACAGG
rnacentral:rRNA from 1 species